UACAGAGGGUGCAAGCGUUGUUCGGAAUUACUGGGCGUAAAGCGCGUGUAGGUGGUGGCGUAAGUCGGAUGUGAAAUCCCUCGGCUUAACCGAGGAAGUGCAUCCGAUACUGUGUCACUUGAGUGUUGGAGGGGAUGGCGGAAUUCCCGGUGUAGAGGUGAAAUUCGUAGAUAUCGGGAGGAACACCUGUAGCGAAGGCGGCCAUCUGGACAACUACUGACACUGAGACGCGAAAGCGUGGGUAGCAAACAGG
rnacentral:rRNA from 1 species